ensembl:lncRNA
GGCGGCCCCCUGCGUCCACUCCCCUGCGUCCACCCCCGCAUCCUCAGCAGCCUCCAGCAAGUGGAGCCGUAGAGCUGGGCGUAGGCAGGACGCCCCACCCGUCCUGGCCCCCGUCAACCCUGGCGGUGAGCGGAAGAGCAAGAGGCCCCAGGACGUUACACCCAGAGAGAGGUAGCUGCUUUCUGGGGGAUGGUGAAAGCACCUCUCCCUCCCCUGGAGGAGGGCCGGGUGGAGAAUCUGGAAAUCUCAACAAGAGAGCAGUUUUCUCUAUCUCUGGGUCCCAGGAGGGCACAGAGAGUUGCAGACGGCCAAGCACCGGACCUCACUCAUCCUCCUCCUUCGCCCGAUGGCAGCAGUGGGCGGUUCGAGAGCGUCAACGAAGGCCCUACUCGCACCCUCUGCCAACCUGUGGAACCAGGUGAGCCUUGCACCCCACACUCACACCCCUCUCCGGUCCGCUCACAAGCCGCCUGAGUUGGGUCCCUGUGUUCCACCUCGCUGCCCCACUGCAGGUAUAGCUGUGGUUCUGCUGGUCCCACUUGUACGGUUUUUAACCACCUGGUCAGCACUACCCAGCCUGUCUCGCUGGCUUCUGCGGACCAACAGCCCCGGCUAUGCGAUUCAGUUCGCCCGGCGUCCCCCCAAGUUCAGCGGUAUCCGCUUCACUACAGUGAAAGCGUCCGAUGCCCCUGUUCUGUGGAUAGAGACUGCAGUCCUACUGGCGAAGGAUGCGAUAGAGCCGGUCCCUCCAGCCGAUAUGAAGACGGGGUUUUAUAGCCCUUACUUCAUUGUACCCAAGAAAAGUGGUGGGUUACGACCGAUCUUGGAUCUGCGAGUUUUGAACCGGGUCCUUCAUCGGCUACCAUUCAAGAUGUUGACGCAGAAACGCAUCUUCGGGUGCGUCCGUUCCCGAGAUUGGUUUGCAGUGAUUGACCUGAAGGACGCGUACUUUAAUGUAUUGAUCCUUCUGCGCCACAGACCUUUUCUGCGGUUUGCGUUUGAAGGACGGGCAUAUCAGUACAAGGUCCUGCCCUUCUGGCUGUCCCUGCCUCCCUGUGUCUUCACGAAAGUCGUGGAGGUGGCUCUUGUUCCCCUCAGAGAGCAGGGUGUUCGCAUUCUCAGC